CCUACGGGCGGCAGCAGUGGGGAAUAUUGGACAAUGGGCGAAAGCCUGAUCCAGCCAUGCCGCGUGUGUGAAGAAGGCCUUCGGGUUGUAAAGCACUUUCAGUGGGGAAGAAAGCCUUGGGGCUAAUACCCUCGAGGAAGGACAUCACCCACAGAAGAAGCACCGGCUAACUCCGUGCCAGCAGCCGCGGUAAUACGGAGGGUGCGAGCGUUAAUCGGAAUUACUGGGCGUAAAGCGCGCGUAGGCGGUCUGAUAAGCCGGUUGUGAAAGCCCCGGGCUCAACCUGGGAACGGCAUCCGGAACUGUCAGGCUAGAGUGCAGGAGAGGAAGGUGGAAUUCCCGGUGUAGCGGUGAAAUGCGUAGAGAUCGGGAGGAAUACCAGUGGCGAAGGCGGCCUUCUGGACUGACACUGACGCUGAGGUGCGAAAGCGUGGGUAGCAAACAGGAUUAGAUACCUGGUAGUC
rnacentral:rRNA from 1 species